AUAUUGGUCACUAAAAUGAUAAUGGAAAAGUUUCCUCGCAUACGCAAGUAUUAUUUUCCACUUCCAUGCAAUUCUACUUUAAAAAAUACAACAGAAUAUGUCUAUGAAUUUGCUUCAUCUGUAACCAAAAGCUUCUAACUUUAUAAACAAUUUUCUAUGUACAAGAUCUACACGUUUACAAUGUCAAUACAUUGAUCAUCUAAUCAACUUAAGUUCACAAAGAAUCACAUGAUAUAUAUAUAUAAGUAUAUAUAUAUAUAUAUAUAUAGGAACUUUCUCCUUGCAAUGCCGGAUUUAUUUCAUCGUAGCAGAAGCCAUCAAUAAAGAAUAAGAAACUCAUUUUACCAGCGACAAGAUCAUCUGCAACGGAUUCCGAUUGGCACUUGAAUACG